rnacentral:rRNA from 1 species
UCAGAUUGAACGCUGGCGGCAGGCCUAACACAUGCAAGUCGAGCGGUAGCACAGAGAGCUUGCUCUCGGGUGACGAGCGGCGGACGGGUGAGUAAUGUCUGGGAAACUGCCUGAUGGAGGGGGAUAACUACUGGAAACGGUAGCUAAUACCGCAUAAUGUCGCAAGACCAAAGUGGGGGACCUUCGGGCCUCAUGCCAUCAGAUGUGCCCAGAUGGGAUUAGCUAGUAGGUGGGGUAACGGCUCACCUAGGCGACGAUCCCUAGCUGGUCUGAGAGGAUGACCAGCCACACUGGAACUGAGACACGGUCCAGACUCCUACGGGAGGCAGCAGUGGGGAAUAUUGCACAAUGGGCGCAAGCCUGAUGCAGCCAUGCCGCGUGUGUGAAGAAGGCCUUCGGGUUGUAAAGCACUUUCAGCGGGGAGGAAGGCGGUAAGGUUAAUAACCUCAUCGAUUGACGUUACCCGCAGAAGAAGCACCGGCUAACUCCGUGCCAGCAGCCGCGGUAAUACGGAGGGUGCAAGCGUUAAUCGGAAUUACUGGGCGUAAAGCGCACGCAGGCGGUCUGUCAAGUCGGAUGUGAAAUCCCCGGGCUCAACCUGGGAACUGCAUUCGAAACUGGCAGGCUAGAGUCUUGUAGAGGGGGGUAGAAUUCCAGGUGUAGCGGUGAAAUGCGUAGAGAUCUGGAGGAAUACCGGUGGCGAAGGCGGCCCCCUGGACAAAGACUGACGCUCAGGUGCGAAAGCGUGGGGAGCAAACAGGAUUAGAUACCCUGGUAGUCCACGCCGUAAACGAUGUCGAUUUGGAGGUUGUGCCCUUGAGGCGUGGCUUCCGGAGCUAACGCGUUAAAUCGACCGCCUGGGGAGUACGGCCGCAAGGUUAAAACUCAAAUGAAUUGACGGGGGCCCGCACAAGCGGUGGAGCAUGUGGUUUAAUUCGAUGCAACGCGAAGAACCUUACCUGGUCUUGACAUCCACAGAACUUUCCAGAGAUGGAUUGGUGCCUUCGGGAACUGUGAGACAGGUGCUGCAUGGCUGUCGUCAGCUCGUGUUGUGAAAUGUUGGGUUAAGUCCCGCAACGAGCGCAACCCUUAUCCUUUGUUGCCAGCGGUCCGGCCGGGAACUCAAAGGAGACUGCCAGUGAUAAACUGGAGGAAGGUGGGGAUGACGUCAAGUCAUCAUGGCCCUUACGACCAGGGCUACACACGUGCUACAAUGGCAUAUACAAAGAGAAGCGACCUCGCGAGAGCAAGCGGACCUCAUAAAGUAUGUCGUAGUCCGGAUUGGAGUCUGCAACUCGACUCCAUGAAGUCGGAAUCGCUAGUAAUCGUAGAUCAGAAUGCUACGGUGAAUACGUUCCCGGGCCUUGUACACACCGCCCGUCACACCAUGGGAGUGGGUUGCAAAAGAAGUAGGUAGCUUAACCUUCGGGAGGGCGCUUACCACUUUGUGAUUCAUGACUGGGGUGAAGUCGUAACAAGGUAACCGUAGGGGAACCUGCGGCUGGAUCACCU